UAACCGUGAUGUGGCCCAUGGUGAAAAUGAGUUUGACGGCCCUGAUUUUGAUGAUGAAUUAUGUACAGCUUGCAGAACACAAGAACUGGUGACAGGACAAAUGAACGAGUGUAAAAAGUCCUGCAGAUUUAAAAAACUGCUUGAGUAAGGUCCAGUUGGCGUGCCGACGUGGAUGCUCUUCAAUACCUGUCUCUGUCUGAAGAGUGAAAGUUGUCUGGUCGGAGACAUGUAGUGCUGGCACUCCUCACUCUGUCCAACGAUGGCUGCAGGUCGCUGCACCGCCGUGACGUCGCAGCAGAGAGGUGUAAGGAGGAAAUGGACAUGGAGACAGUGGAGAGGCGUGGACAGGAUUGGAACCAGAGUCAAAUUGGAAAAGGAACCAAAUCAUGCAGGAGGGUGAGGAAGGCACUCUGCACUCCCGCCUUGGAUUGGCCUGUGCAUCUCCACGACUUCACUGUCAGUGCCAUGACGAUGGGUGAACAAAUGAAAAAGCACCCGAGAAAACACAACAGAAGAGGAUGGCAACUCAGAAAGGCAUGGGAUUUUAUGAAUGCAAAAAACCGUGAAAGAAAUCAUUCCGACAUACCAGAAUUAAGUCAAGUCUUCAUUAAACAAAAUACAGUAGACUGACAUCAAAAUGCAUCGCUAGUUUCACAAUGUUAGUAGUAUUAGUAAAUGGUAGUUACGUAAAAUCAUAUACUGCAGUACACGUAAGCAUUUUUUCAGAAAUGAAUAUGUAAAUGAAAUCUUGUCUUCUGCUUUUACGAAACCAAACACAGUAGUCUAAUCUUUAUUGUCAAUCAGCGUGAUCGGCGGGUCGCCAUACUCAGUGUUACCUGUCUUCAGAGUACUCGUAGUCUGAAUCACCAGAGCGUUGGUGCUCCAAAUGGGGCUCAUGGUAGUGGGACGGGGACUGGGAGUGGUGUCGGUUCUGGUGGAUCUCAUCCAGGCUCCUGGUAGUAAAAAUACUGAAUUAUUACAAUAUUCAGGCACAGAAGAAUGAUAUCUAUCAAGCUUGUUGAGGAUGAAUUUACUAUUUCUACGAAGACUAUAUGAAUAACUUGUGCUGUUUUGUGUUUGAAAACGUCCCAUUAUUAGUUAUUAUGAGUAUUCUACACUAGUUACUAGUUGUCUGAGUAAUGUUAGCAAGUUAGCAGACCAGGAUUGUUUAAUCUUUGACAAUGAAAAAGUGAGUACUCGACAAAACAUGACCUAAGUGCAAAAUACCAGCAUGGCUGAUGCAAUAGUUAGUGAAUAAUUAUUUACCCACAUUUACCUCCAACUUUCAACAGUGGUGGACGUGAUGCUCACCUCUGCAUGGGCACAUGUGCAGGUCUUGACCUCGCCCUGCACGAGUCCUCUCUGUGGGGGGAUACGGAGCGAGAGCGGUACUGCAUGGCACGCUGCUGCUCAGGGACGGCCAACGUACUACCUCGCUCCCUUUCCCUGGAACUACGCUCUCCUCCUACACACAUCCAAACACACACAUCCAGAGUCGUGAGAUACAAACACAUCAGUUGUGUGCGUUGCAUGACUAACUACACUUCAAGUGUUAUUCCUUUGCAGAACACCACAUCUCCAGUUGAUGUUCCACAGGCAAACGGCCAGCCAGCAAGCAAGACUGAAUAGCUGUUUCUGCAGUGUUCUGUCAGACCCGUGUCCUUAGACUUGAACUGAGGUUAUAUAGUAUGAAGUAGCAUAUUUAACUCUCACGUGAACUCCAAUUCACUUAGAGCAGUGAAAAGAAAGGUUACCCUACUUUCCAGAGUAUAAGUCACACUUUCUUUCGUAGUUUGGAUGGGCCUGCAAUUUACAGUCACGUGCGACUUAGUGCUGCUUUUAAGUUAAAAUGGGGUGGUGGUGUUUUUUUGGUGACACCUGAUGGCCGGACUAAUUCACUAAGUUGAGACUGUGACGCAGACGUGGAUGAUAGAGCGCAUACCGGGUGUUUUGUUACAGAAUACAGACUCUGUGUCUGGAAGUAAUGUGCAACUACAAUGACCUGAUACCUGUGUGGACUGACAAUUGUGGUAUUUUAUACAGCAGUGUUGUCUAAUUCGGACACUAAUUAUGUCUUGAUUGGAGAGUGCAGCUGCUGCGUCAGCCACUAACUAAAUACACACGUAUGAUUUCAUUUAUUUGUGAAUACAGAGAUAAAAUGUUGGUGAUGCAAUACCGCUGUUUGCGUUUGUACACACCGGGAUGCAUCUAGGUGUCAUGUCACAUAUUCAUUUAUUUAUUUAUUAUAACAGGUAAGGCUUUAUUGUAGACGUAUGUCCAAAACAAUGUGACUUAUUUCAGCUUUUGGAGCUUUAGUUUGUAUCCUUGUUGGUGUAAACACCCUCCGUCUUCUUCUCUUGUGAGUUGAAUGGUGUUAGGAGCGACGACAUGACACACAUAAAUACCACUAAAUGCUUUAUGUAUUUUGAAUGAUGUGAUUUAUACUCCGGAGUGACU